rnacentral:rRNA from 1 species
AUUGAACGCUGGCGGCAGGCUUAACACAUGCAAGUCGAGCGAGCGGCGGACGGGUGCGUAAUGUCUGGGAAACUGCCUGCUGGAGGGGGAUAACUACUGGAAACGGUAGCUAAUACCGCAUACCAUCAGAUGUGCCCAGAUGGGAUUAGCUAGUAGGUGGGGUAAUGGCUCACCUAGGCGACGAUCCCUAGCUGGUCUGAGAGGAUGACCAGCCACACGGGAACGAGGACACGGUCACGACUCCUACGGUGGGCGGCAGUGGGGAAUAUUGUCCAAUGGGCGCAAGCCUGAUGCAGCCAUGCCGCGUGUGUGAAGAAGUCCUUCGGGUUGUAAAGCACGUUCAGCGAGGAGGCGUUACUCGCAGAAGAAGCACCGGCUAACUCCGUGCCAGCAGCCGCGGUAAUUC